GUUCCCAUGCCGAACACGGAAGUUAAGCUCUUCAGCGCCGAUGGUAGUUGGGGGUUUCCCCCUGUGAGAGUAGGACGUCGCCAAGU
rnacentral:rRNA from 1 species